AUCCAGAUGACCGGUCGAAAAUAGGACGAAACGCGCAUCCUGGAU
rnacentral:hammerhead_ribozyme from 1 species